rnacentral:rRNA from 1 species
GGGAGGCAGCAGUGGGGAAUAUUGGACAAUGGGGGCAACCCUGAUCCAGCAAUGCCGCGUGUGUGAUGAAGGCCUUAGGGUUGUAAAGCACUUUCACUGGUGAAGAUGAUGACGGUAACCAGAGAAGAAGCCCCGGCUAACUUCGUGCCAGCAGCCGCGGUAAU